AGGGGUGUGGCUUAGUGGUAGAGUGUUUACCUAGCAUGUAGAAGGCCCUGGGUUCAAGUCCAAGCAUCACUA
rnacentral:tRNA from 1 species